UGCAAUAGUGCAACACAAAGGCGACGCUUGAGAACCCCAAUAGCAAGCUACUGUCACGGGCCCUCCCCCUUGAAAAAUUAAUUUAAUAUCGUGUGGACCAUUGGUCCACGUAUCAGAUAUUAAACUGAUAAGAACAGAUACUACACUUGAUCUUAGCCAAAAGGCCGAGAAAGGUAUGCCUGGUUAAAUCUCAUGCUUCUUUUUUUAUACUGUGCGUCUACACUCUUUUGAGCAAUACGUUUCGAUGUGGGAUAGUGAAACCACAAAAACAACAGAGGUGUUAGGCAGCAGCCUCCCUCCAUGAGGAUAUGAAGGCACUGGUUUCUCAAAUCAAAACCAAGGACGGUGGUUGUUAUCUUUUGAUUGCAAGGGUUGCUCUGCAUGAUUUGUAUCUAGAGUCCAAUUGAUCUGGCCACAACCCCUUGUCUCGAUAUGCUCUCUAUUCUAGUUUUUGACAAGAUUUUCAAAUGGAGAAAGAACUGUUACAAAACCAUAGCAAAAGUAAUCAAACACAAAGCAACUAUAAUUUUCUUUCUGACCAAAGGAGGAAAAGGGUUUCAUGCCUCAAUUUUUUUCGCCUCUUUUAAUCGAUAUUUACAAUCUUUUCUAUACAAAAUGUGCUCUUGUUUGUUGAUGAAAAGUGGCAGGAGAAUAAUUUGAAUUUGCAGCUUAAAAUCUAAUCUGACUCUUUAAAAUCUAUUCAGUUUCGUUUUAUCUCUUGAAUGUCCUGGGCUAGGCUUAUGAUAACACGAGUACAAGUCGACCAUGGAAACCACCUUUUUAUCCAUCUCAAGGGCAUAACGAAAGCUCAUCCCAAACAUUGUAUGUUUUGGAAGUGGCCAUGCCCCACUCUUUAUUUCACUGAAACCCCAAUAUUAUUUUUGCUUAUGCAUGAAUGUUGGUUUCUGUUGGUUUUUUUGCCUUGUAUUUACCUUGUAGCUGUCACCUUCUGAAUUUCUUUGCAGCCAUGCUUGCAAGUUUCAACUUUGAGAGUUAAGAGUGAAUUAGAUUUAGAUUACCCCUGAAAACUUCAGAAAUCAAUCGCAGCAUCUAUUUAUUUACUACAGUACCGUGUAGAAGAAACCAUAUUGGAAUUACACAACAAAGACGAAAUCCCUACAGAAAUAAAGGUCUAUGACAGCCUUUACCAUCAUUUCAAUGAUCCAUAACAAUCACAGAACUACAUUCCAAGUCAAUUCCGAUUUCUGA